CUAGUUUUUUUUUUUUCUCUCCCCGUGCCUAUUUCUUCUCAUCGCCGGUUCUUCCUCCUCUCUACACCGCAUCGCCUCUUCUCCUCCCUGAUUCCCUUCUUCCUCCAAGAAACUCCAACUCAUCGCUGACCCUCCUUCCCCUCUCACGACCCUAAUCCAUUGACGCCGACUCCCAAUUCUUUCUUUCCCUUCCUCACUCGUGCCCUCUAUUCCUUCUCCGGCCACGCGAGCGCGACAGACGCCGAUCAUCUACUCCUCUCUGCCGACCAUCAUAGCCCGUCGCCUGUCACUGAUGCCACCAUCGUCGUCAUUCCAGCAGCCGCGAGCCUUUCUGUCGGAGUCGCGUGACCUUCUUUCCCCUUCCCGGGCGCGGAUCCGACCAAAACUUGACCUUGCCGUUGAGUGUCCUGUUCUUCUUCCUCGAUCUGAUCUGAGCACCUCUUUCCCUUUUCUGAUCAACGCCACUCAGAUUCAUUUGAUCGUCAUCUGAUUUGCCACAGUCCUCUCUGAUUUAGGGUUCAUGUCGCCUUCAGCCGAGCACCACCAUCUGUAGUAGGUUGCCACUAGAGAAGAAGUGGUUGAUUAGGGUAAACCCUAAUUAAAUUUGAUUGUUUUGCUUGAUCUAGGAUUGGUGCUAAUUUAGGGAUAUUUGAUUUGGAGGGAAGCACUUUCUCCUUGCUCCAAUCAUCAUUGUGUGGGCGAUCCAAAACUGGGGCCACCAUUUUUCGACAUCAAAAUCUUCAGCUGUGAGAUAACAUGUAUGAAACCAGGUUAAGGAUGUUUGAUUUGGAGAUCAUCGGUUUUAUCUAGCUCCGACCACCUUUUUCGGCAGCGAGUGCUUCGUCGAUGAAUUAAUAUAAAAAAGUACACUAUUCGGACUUUGAUUCGAGAUGAGCGUCUCAAUGUGAGAUCUAUUUCAGAUACGAUAUUCUUUUGAGGCGAG